UACGUAGGUGACAAGCGUUGUCCGGAUUUACUGGGCGUAAAGAGCGCGCAGGCGGUCGGUAAAGUCGAGUGUGAAAGCCCCCGGCUCAACUGGGGAGGGUCAUUCGAUACUGAUCGACUCGAAGGCAGGAGAGGGUAGUGGAAUUCCCGGUGUAGUGGUGAAAUGCGUAGAUAUCGGGAGGAACACCAGUGGCGAAGGCGACUACCUGGCCUGUUCUUGACGCUGAGGCGCGAAAGCUAGGGGAGCAAACGGG
rnacentral:rRNA from 1 species